CACGACUUCUAUAGGUGUCACACCUGUAAUACAACAGAUAGGAAUGCCAUCUGUGUUAACUGCAUCAAAAAGUGUCACCAAGGACACGAUGUAGAGUUUAUACGACACGAUCGGUUUUUCUGUGACUGCGGCGCGGGAACGUUGUCCAACCCGUGUACGCUGGCCGGAGAGCCCACACAUGACACGGACACUCUGUACGACUCGGCGCCGCCCAUCGAGUCCAACACGCUACAACAUAACUGAAGGCGGCGGCUCGUGUUAACGCCCUCAGAUAAGCAAACAAACACAUUGCAUUACACACACACACACACACACACACACAC